GCCAAAACCCCAUCUCGUCGUCUCUGGUAUCCAAUCCCCUGAAUCCCGUCGGAUCCUCUCUCUCUCCGGCGACAGCUUCAGAAAAAUCUAAGAAAACAGAAAACGAAGACUCUCUCCCUCUCUCCUCCGUUACCGUAAACCCUAAUUUCUCCAUGCCGCGAUCCCCGGAGCGAAGCUACUUGGUAUCAGAGCGGAGGAAUGCGGACCUAGGGUUCCAGAUUUGGGCCAGAAAGUCCGGGAUUGACGCCGUUGACGCUUACUACCAAGCAUCAAUUGUGGGGUUCGAAGCAGCAGCUUUAACUGGCACUCGGUCCUCGGAUCAAAGCUGCAUGUCAUUAGACAGGAGGAAUGCAUAUGUAGGAUUCGAGAUCUCAAGCCAAGAGUUCUUGGUUGACGCCCUUGAUGCUUACUACCAAGCCCCUCCGCUCGAGAAUUUAGAACGCUGCUGUGUGGAAAUGGUUGAUUAUGGUUUUGAAGAGCAUUCUGGAUGAGUUAGAAACACAAGAGAAGUAGAAGGGAGUGAGAAAAAAGCAUCAGAGAUGUAAGAGUUUAGCGAGCGACUGAAGAAGCGAUAUGCCCGAUUGGAGGAAGAGUUUCCUAUCUGAUUCCGUUCCCCUUCAAGCUGGCGAGAAAUCUCAGAUUGUAUCCAAAAGAAUUGCCACACUUGGAUCUUGGAGUGAAAUUGCUUGCUAUUGGAGAGGAGGAAUGCGCGCAGACCUAAGGUUCCACAUCUCAGCCAAAUAAUUCGAGGUUGAUGCCUUUGAUGCCAAGUUCCAAACUCUGUUUAAAAAUUUAGUUUCAGUACGACUUGUCACUCCUCAACUAGUGUAUAGCACUCCGCAGUUCAUUGGGAAUACAAGGGUUGUCUUCAAGUUAUCUACUCAAAACGGCAACUCAGGUGAAGUGCUAACAAAUGCAUUGAGGGAUGAUAAAUGCUGCUGGAGGUACAGGUGAGGUGGUUAGCUGUAGUUUAUCCUUUUCUUAAUCAUGAGAUGAUAAGAAUGAAUUAUGCUGUAGAUAUUUCCUAGCUAGCUACAAAGCAAUGAGAAGGCAGCAAAGUUUUUUGUUUCUUUAUAACCACGUUGCACGA